rnacentral:rRNA from 1 species
AACGAACGCUGGCGGCAGGCCUAACACAUGCAAGUCGAGCGCACCUUCGGGUGAGCGGCGGACGGGUUAGUAACGCGUGGGAACGUGCCCUUCUCUACGGAAUAGCCAUUGGAAACGAUGAGUAAUACCGUAUACGCCCUUCGGGGAAAGAUUUAUCGGAGAAGGAUCGGCCCGCGUUAGAUUAGAUAGUUGGUGGGGUAACGGCCUACCAAGUCUACGAUCUAUAGCUGGUUUUAGAGGAUGAUCAGCAACACUGGGACUGAGACACGGCCCAGACUCCUACGGGAGGCAGCAGUGGGGAAUCUUAGACAAUGGCGCAAGCCUGAUCCAGCCAUGCCGCGUGAGUGAUGAAGGCCUUAGGGUUGUAAAGCUCUUUCGCUGGGAAGAUAAUGACGGUACCAGUAAAGAAGCCCCGGCUAACUUCGUGCCAGCAGCCGCGGUAAU